AUGGCGACGGCGAGGCGGGGAGGAGUGGGCUGGAGAGCGGUUCUUGCGGCGGUGCUGCAGCUUCUCGUGGCGGCGGAGGCCGGGAAGUACAACGCGGUGUUCAAUUUUGGGGACUCCCUGGUGGACGCCGGCAACCUGGUGACCGAGGGCAUCCCGGACUACCUCGCCACGGCGCGGCCGCCCUACGGCCAGUCUUACUUCGGGUACCCCACCGGCCGCUGCUCCGACGGCCGCCUCGUCAUCGAUUUCAUCGCGCAAGAGUUCGGGCUGCCGCUGCUGCCCCCGUCCAAGGCCAAGAACGCCAGCUUCGCGCAGGGCGCCAACUUCGCCAUCACCGGCGCCACGGCGCUCGACACGGAGUUCUUCGAGAAGCGGGGGCUCGGGAAGAGCGUCUGGAACUCCGGGUUACUCUUCACCCAAAUCCAGUGGCUACGCGACCUCAAGCCCUCCUUUUGUAACUCCACCCAAGAGUGCAAGGAUUUCUUUGCCAAGUCCCUGUUCGUCGUGGGUGAAUUGGCCGGAAAUGACUACAACGCGCCGCUCUUUGCCGGGAAGGAUCUCAGCGAGGCCUACAACCUGAUACCCCAUGUCGUUCAGGGCAUCUCAGAUGGUGUCGAGCAAUUGAUUGCCGAGGGGGCAAAGGAUUUAAUUGUGCCUGGAGUGAUGCCGUCUGGGUGCUUUCCAGUGUACCUGAGCAUGUAUGUUGAUCCUAAAGAGGGGUACGGUCCGCGUACCGGCUGCCUCAAGCGAUUCAACACAUUUUCAUGGGUGCACAAUGCGAUGCUCAAGCGUGCGCUGGAGAAGCUUCGUGCCAAGCACCCUGGCGUCAGGAUCAUAUAUGGGGAUUACUUUACACCAGUUAUCCAGUUCUUGCUUCAGCCUGAAAAGUUUGGAUUUCACAAGCAGCCGCCUAGAGCAUGCUGCGGCGCUCCCGGGAAGGGCCCUUACAACUUCAAUCUGACAGCCAAGUGCGGCGAGCCUGGUGCUACGCCGUGUCCUGAUCCAAAGACACAUUGGAGCUGGGACGGCAUUCACUUGACUGAAGCCGCAUAUGAGCACAUUGCCAAAGGUUGGUUGCAUGGCGAAUUCGCGGAUCAACCUAUCAUACAAUCUUCCUGA
rnacentral:rRNA from 1 species